rnacentral:rRNA from 1 species
UGCGUAGGCGGAUUAAUAAGUCAGUGGUGAAAUCUCCCGGCUCAACCGGGAAACUGCCAUUGAUACUGUUAGUCUAGAGUUUAGAUGAAGUGGGCGGAAUGUAGCAUGUAGCGGUGAAAUGCUUAGAUAUGCUACAGAACACCGAUUGCGAAGGCAGCUCACUAAACUAAAACUGACGCUCAUGCACGAAAGCGUGGGGAUCAAACAGGAUUAGAUACCCUGGUAGUCC